rnacentral:rRNA from 1 species
GACGAACGCUGGCGGCGUGCUUAACACAUGCAAGUCGAGCGGUAAGGCCCUUUCGGGGGUACACGAGCGGCGAACGGGUGAGUAACACGUGGGUGACCUGCCCUCAGCUCUGGGGAUAAGCCUGGGAAACUGGGUCUAAUACUGGAUAUGACUCCACGGUGCAUGUCGUGGGGUGGAAAGCCUUGUGCGGCUGAGGAUGGGCCCGCGGCCUAUCAGCUUGUUGGUGGGGUGAU